rnacentral:rRNA from 1 species
UACGUAGGUGGCAAGCGUUGUCCGGAUUUAUUGGGCGUAAAGCGAGCGCAGGCGGUUCCUUAAGUCUGAUGUGAAAGCCCCCGGCUCAACCGGGGAAGGUCAUUGGAAACUGGGGAACUUGAGUGCAGAAGAGGAGAGUGGAAUUCCAUGUGUAGCGGUGAAAUGCGUAGAUAUAUGGAGGAACACCAGUGGCGAAGGCGACUUACUGGUCUGUGAUUGACGCUGAGGCUCGAAAGCGUGGGUAGCGAACAGG